rnacentral:ncRNA from 10 species
AGGCUGAAUCAUGGUGGGGAAUUAAUGUGUAAUUCAUUAGCUGUUCCUGCAACGGUUAAAGUCCGAGUGCCACCCAGUAAAGUCCGGUGUUGAACGAAGGCCAGGAAAAGUCUAGUUCUGCAAUUAAAGU